CUCACCGAAGCCUGACCCUGCUGGCACCCUGAUGUUGGACUUCCAGCCUCCAGAACUAUUCUACAUAUGAGUGGAAUCCACAUAUGAGAAAUUAUAAGGUACUGUGUCCAGGAAUUUCCGCCGUCCGAGCAGGGGUCAAAGGCUGUUGUGGUGCAGGCUGCUGUGGGAAUCGCUCUCCUCGCACUCUGUAUCCAGAUGCUGCGAUCGGUCUUCUGCUCGGCGUUCGGGAUGCUUGGUGCCAUCUACUGCCUCUCGGUAUCAGGAGCCGGGCUCCGAAAUGGACCACAAUGCUUAAUCAACGGCUCCUGGGCAUACCACUUCCAACAGACCGCGUAAGACU